ACGCGCCAAGCCCACUCUGCAUAUGUGGCGACAGGCUAGCUAACAAGACAAUGAAGGGUUCAAAACUGCUUCGGCACAUGGUCGCCACAAAAGCGCUGAAAACCCUGCUUCCUUUUCCAACAACCUAUCUUUGUGAAGCUGGAUUUUCUGCAGUUAGAGCAACCAAAACAAAGCUGCGGAGCAGAUUGGACAUCAACAGCACACUUCGGGUGUCAUUGUCUCCGAUUAAGCCUAGAUGGGACCGGCACGUUUCUGAGAAACAAGCUCAGUGCUCCCACUAAUUCAACGUAAUGGACUGGUGCGACUUGUACUCCGGAGUGACUUAUAGUCCAGAAAAUACGUACUUGCUGCAAGAAUAAGGUCAUUUACCCAAAUGAUCAUUACGACAUUCUCAUUGUCAGAUUUUUUACUGUAAAUACAAGAGCCUGCUGUAAUUUUAACAAAAUAAUUUUCAAUUAAGUAGUCAUGAAGCAUUUUAUUACAAUUUUGCCCUGACUGCUUCAGACCAUACCAUGUUACUUGUUGAGUUUACACACCAUUUUGUCCUGUAUUUGACUUGACCUUGAACCCUUCAAUGGGUCGAAAUGUUCAAGGAAAAUUUUGGCCUAUUAAAUAAAGUGUGUUGAUGUUCAGAUCA